rnacentral:rRNA from 1 species
UACAGAGGUCUCAAGCGUUGUUCGGAAUUACUGGGCGUAAAGCGCGUGUAGGUGGCGAGAUAAGUCGGGUGUGAAAUCCCUUGGCUUAACCAAGGAAGUGCAUUCGAUACUGUUUCGCUUGAGUAUCGGAGGGGUCGGCGGAAUUCCCGGUGUAGAGGUGAAAUUCGUAGAUAUCGGGAGGAACACCUGUGGCGAAGGCGGCCGACUGGACGAUCACUGACACUGAGACGCGAAAGCGUAGGUAGCAAACAGG